CCUAUAAGACUGGGAUAACUUCGGGAAACCGGAGCUAAUACUGGAUAAUUCACAUCUACUCAUGUAGAUGUGCUGAAAGACGGUUUACGCUGUCACUUAUAGAUGGGCCCGCGGCGCAUUAGCUAGUUGGUGAGGUAACGGCUCACCAAGGCCACGAUGCGUAGCCGACCUGAGAGGGUGAUCGGCCACACUGGGACUGAGACACGGCCCAG
rnacentral:rRNA from 1 species